GGUUUCCAUCUCUGCUACAGUACCAUGCUCCUCUUGCCAGAAUCAAAUGGAUUUUCCUUGGUUUGAACUUCCAAGGGUCAGAGACAGGCAGGCGCAAUGGAGUUAGAGGGUUGCUACCUCUGGAAUGACCUGAGAGGAGACUUCUGAAGGGCCAGUAAUUUCUCAACUGGAUAGGUGCCUCCUGACACUGCCCUGUCUCCUUGACUGUGCACCUUUCCGUUGGCCCCUGAAGAUACUGGACCUGGCUCUUUUGGCAGAUAAAACUGCUGAUUGUAAUUUGAAAACAGCCCUUCAGUUAAUUUACCAAGGAAUCUCAGAGGCAGAAACAGCUUGGAAGAUUUUUCCUUUGUAUGGACUUUAACUCAAGUACAAACACUAAGGCUAUCUUGCAGAAUCCAACUUUUGACGAGAGAUGUGAAAAGUGGGAGCUGGAGCUGGAACUGGAAGAGAAGGGAGAAAGUGGAGAAGAGUCUGUUCUGGUCAAACAGGAGGAGAGAGCCCCACGCCUGGGAGAGGACAAGGACUGAUGGAGAAUUAUUCAAAUGGCAAAGUGCCCAACUCGUUGGUUACAAUGCAGAUGCAGACUAGACUGUCAUCAAGCAUGCAGAUCCCUUUGACUUUGGAGAGGGGGCAUUUGAGGUGACAUGAAUAUGAGGCAUUCAUCAUUCAAUUUUGGGAAGGGAGUGUGGUCCGGUGGCUGUGUGGCUGAGGCAAUGGAUGAGUGAUGGAGUCUUGACUAAAGGAUGGGAAUGCAGUGAUCUCUUUUCAAACCUCAUCUGCAGUGUUGAGUGGUGCUGAUCUCUCCUCCAAAUGGUCAACCGUCAGGCCCAAGGCUCCUCAGAUAAAUACUGAGGGUGCAGCCCCCCAUCUGUGCCUUGCACAUAAGACUAGUUCUGAUACUCGCUCCUUGAUGACGAUGUGCACGUUGGCCGAAAGAGAAGGACAUGCUACUUUAAGCACCACACAGGAGCUGGACUGGCUUCCAGGCCUGUUGUCAUGGGAGGAGUGUGGGAGUGCAGGUCAAUGCUGAGCUUCAGCCUUACAAAGAGGAGCAGGAAUUGCCUGUAAUGUGGCAAAUGCUGGAUGUGUAUUGGGAGUUGCAUGAAGGUCUGACACAGCUUCAAGAACAUAUGUGUGCCCUUCCCAGAAAGUGGGAGAGUAUAUCCAGGCAAUAAGUCCUUCAAUCUCCCUCCUGCAGCUUGUUUAGAGUUUAAAUACCAGCUUGGAAUGGUUGUUUGAAAUGGCCUAUUUCUGAGCUGUAUAUCCAAUGUAAUCUUAUGCAAGAGCACAUGAAAAUUCAGUUGGAUACAGAUUACCUUAUUCUUUAUUUAGCAAUCUGUAUUACAUUAUGUGUAACAUUGAAUAUAAUACAUAUAUAUCUGUAAAACAAGGAAGUUUAUCCAUUAAAUUGAAUAUGUGACUCAGUGUUAUGGUUUUACAAAUUUGCUUUACAUGUUUAUCACAAUUACAGCUGAAUUAGUUCCUGAUUCUUGGAAAGUGAAUGACAUAGUAAGUCAAUAUUCAAAGAGGAUGUAAAUGACUAGACUACCUCAUAAAUUCAUUGUAAAUACUCCACUCCCAGAAGUAUUGGUGCAUUGCAAACUCAAAUAUGUUGAUCUUUUUGACUCUGAGUUUGUGAGUUUCGUCAUUAGUGAGGUGUUAGCAAAUAGGCUGACAGAAUAUUCCAUCUGCUGAGCAUAAGGCUUCCAGUCAUAUCAUGUAACAAAACUGGCUCGGUUGGAACUGUCACAUUAGCCACUGCUAAUU